UACGACGGGUACGGGUUGUGAGAGCAAGAGCCCGGAGAUGGAUUCUGAGACACGAAUCCAGGCCCUACGGGGUGCAGCAGGCGCGAAAACUUUACAAUGCCGGCAACGGCGAUAAGGGGACCUCGAGUGCCAGGUUACAAAUCUGGCUGUCGUGAUGCCUAAAAAGCAUUGCAUAGCAAGGGCCGGGCAAGACCGGUGCCAGCCGCCGCGGUAACACCGGCGGCUCGAGUGGUAACCGUUAUUAUUGGGUCUAAAGGGUCUGUAGCCGGCCGGAUAAGUCUCUUGAGAAAUCCAGCAGCUCAACUGUUGGGCUUUCAGGAGAUACUGUUCGGCUCGAGGCCGGGAGAGGUGAGAGGUACUUCAGGGGUAGGGGUGAAAUCUUGUAAUCCUUGAAGGACCACCAGUGGCGAAGGCGUCUCACCAGAACGGACCUGACGGCAAGGGACGAAAGCUAGGGGCACGAACCGGAUUAGAUACCCGGGUAGUCCUAGCCGUAAACGAUACUCGCUAGGUGUCGGCCACGGUGCGACCGUUGUCGGUGCCGUAGGGAAGCCGUGAAGCGAGC
rnacentral:rRNA from 1 species